ACUCUCUUCCUCAGACCGCUCGAUUCCAUGGCUGGACCGCGUGCUCUUUGCUUUGCUUCAGCGAUGUGGAGGGGAUCUAUGGAAGCACCCCAGGGGAGAAUUGACUGACUGCAGGGAAGAAGAAGGAGUGACGCUGGCCGACUACCUACACAUGGAGAGGCCGCACAAGCUUCGGCCCGUCUAUCGCGCAUCCGAUGGUCGCGAGAAACAGAGAUGACAGCCGAUCAGGAGUGUAAAACCGACAGUUCCACGGUGAUAUCUCCAGGCGUAGAUCACCACCAUAUGAGUAAUGUAUUCAUGGAGCAGCAGCAACGGGUAGUGCUCCACCAUGCAGGACAGCUGAUAUCUUUGACCUAGGCAAGCUCCAUCAAAGGACGUGUAAACUAAUGGCAGGAGGCGAUGACAUUAGAAAAAAGGCCCAAGAUUAGAGCGACUAUUUCUCCUUAGCAGAGCGACAAUUGAGUGGACUGUGUGGCAGAAAGAAAUGGUCAUCGAGGAUGCAAUGAACACCAGCUGAUGGAUUAAUAAUUCUGAAGAUGGUCCUGAACUCAUGCAUGCACAGCUGAUGGGCUGCACGUCGACGCAUCUUACCUGCCUCCAUGGACAUGCAUUGCAACAAAGGUUCCUUGAUGCCACAUGCCAGGGUUGGCGGUUCAUCUUCAUUUUUCUUGCCCUUUUGUAAAUGAAUUCACUCAGAAAAUGGUUGAUUCUGAUGACAAGUUCUGAAAAAUGCACACAGAUGCCCUGCUCGCGCGAAA